rnacentral:rRNA from 1 species
GAGGUAGAUAGGUUCGAGGUGGAAGUGUGGUGACACAUGGAGCUGACGAAUACUAAUCGAUCGAGGACUUAACCA